rnacentral:rRNA from 1 species
GCUACCAGGACCAAGGUCAGCAGCAGGCGCGAAAAUUAUCGAAGCCCGCCUAGGGGCGAUAGUGAGGAGACGUGUAUAACGAAGUACGUGUAAAGCACGCACUAAUAACUGGAGGUCAAGUCUGGUGCCAGCAUCCGCGGUAAUUCCAGCUCCAGGGGUGUCUAUGAUGAUUGCUGCGAUUAAAAAGUCCGUAGUCAAACUGACUGACUGACCUGCAAUGUGAUUGAUUAAAGAACGAGCAGGGUUAGGAAAGCAGAGAAUUAGGAGCGACCGAGGGCUAGAGUAUUGAAUGGCGAGAGGUGAAAUUUGAUGACCCAUUCAGGAGUGACAAAGGCGAAGGCACUAGUCAAGGGCGAAUCCGAUGAUCAAGGACGUAGGCUAGAGUUUCGAAAACGAUUAGAGACCGGAGUAGUUCUAGCAGUAAACUAUGCCGACGCCGUGAUAUUGUUUUUUGUGGCAGUAUUGCGGAAGAGAAAUCAAGUAAGGCUUUGGGGAGAGUACGCGCGCAAGCGAUAAAUUUAAAGGAAAUGACGGAGGAACACCACAA